GCUCCCGUAGCUCAGUGGCAGAGCACUUCCAUGGUAAGGAAGGGGUCAUCGGUUCAAAUCCGAUCGGGAGCU
rnacentral:tRNA from 4 species